rnacentral:rRNA from 1 species
UACGUAGGGGGCUAGCGUUGUCCGGAUUUAUUGGGCGUAAAGAGCGUGUAGGCGGCCAUACAGGUCCGUUGUGAAAACUGGAGGCUUAACCUCCAGACGUCGAUGGAAACCGUAUGGCUAGAGUCCGGAAGAGGAGAGUGGAAUUCCUGGUGGUAGCGGUGAAAUGCGCAGAUAUCAGGAAGAACACCCGUGGCGAAGGCGGCUCUCUGGGACGGUACUGACGCUGAGACGCGAAAGCGUGGGGAGCGAACAGG